GUGGGGAAUAUUGGACAAUGGGCGAAAGCCUGAUCCAGCCAUGCCGCGUGUGUGAAGAAGGUCUUCGGAUUGUAAAGCACUUUAAGUUGGGAGGAAGGGCAGUAAGUUAAUACCUUGCUGUUUUGACGUUACCGACAGAAUAAGCACCGGCUAACUUCGUGCCAGCAGCCGCGGUAAUACGAAGGGUGCAAGCGUUAAUCGGAAUUACUGGGCGUAAAGCGCGCGUAGGUGGUUUUGUAAGUUGGAGGUGAAAUCCCCGGGCUCAACCUGGGAACUGCCUCCAAAACUGCAUGACUAGAGUACGGUAGAGGGUAGUGGAAUUUCCGGUGUAGCGGUGAAAUGCGUAGAUAUAGGAAGGAACACCAGUGGCGAAGGCGACUACCUGGACUGAUACUGACACUGAGGUGCGAAAGCGUGGGGAGCAAACAGGAUUAGAAACCCUUGUAGUCC
rnacentral:rRNA from 1 species